CCCAGACCUCAUUUAAUGGGUGGCAGUGGAAGCAAGGGUGUUUUUGUUGGAGAUCCGCAAGUACCUGAGGCCUUCUAAAGCAAAUGUGACCAGAAGGAAUCUGACACAACCAACCCUUCCUUUGCAAUCAACGUGGGAUCCAAAACAAACCUUCGGCGCUCUCGGCAUCGCUGCCCAGGGAACCAGGCAUCCUGCAAAUAAACACUGAAUUGCAAAUCUGCGAGGGAGCUGAAUACAGCAUCACAGCCAUACUUCUUUCUGGUGGAUUGGCUCAGAAGAGAAGUUCUGUACAUGGGCUUUGGUAACAUCCAGCCAAGAGCUGAGUUUCGAGGGCCAGGAACUGCAGAUGGGCACACAGAUAGGUCAAACCUUGUUUUUUUUUUUCCCCCAGAAGAAACAUUUGGUGUCCAGUCUGCAAACACAGGUGACCUUAAGAGCAACUCCGGCCAUUAAUGCCCUUCUUGUUUUACCUUUUGUAAAAAGUUACAAGGAUUUUUAUCUAGGGUAAAACAUAUAGAUAGAUAGAUAGAUAGAUUUGCAGCUGGGAGCUGCUUUAUGCAGGCACAGCCUCUCUCUUGGCCACGGCCUUUUGGGCCAGGCAUGGUACAGUCUGUGGGUUGUAAACGUCAUUGAGCGAGUCAGCAGCUUUCCCCAUGAAACCAUCUCAAAGCCUUCCCCUGUUGCUGCACAUUUAAUUUCCCCAUUCAGGGGCCAGUGAGAGUAAAGGCAACCUGUGUAUGGAAACUUUUAAUUAAACUACAAAUAUAGAGUCGAGUCAUUUCUGGCGGAGGUGUAAAUAGUCUGUGGGAGAAGUGCUGAGUUGUGGGAGAGGAAGGCAGCAUUUGUAUCCAGCCCUGGAAUUUGUCCAUUCGUCACACUGUUGUCCCAGGAUCACAGAACCAUUAAGGUUGGAAAAGACUUCCAAGAUCAUCCAGUUCAGUCGUCCACCUACCACCAAUAUUUCCCAGUGAUCCCAUGUUCCUUAGUACCACAUCUACACAUCUUGAACACAUCCAGAGACAGUGACUCCACCACCUCCCUGGGCAGCAGUGCCAGUGCCUGACCGCUCUUUCGAAGGCCAUCACCUCUUGUCCUGUUGCUGUUACUCAGGAGAAGAGGCUGACACCCACCUUGCCACAACCCCCUGUCAAGGAGUUGCAGAGGGCAAUAAGGUCUCCCCUGAGCCUCCUCCUCUCCACCCUCCACAGCUCCCAUCAGUCCUUCUUUGUUCAUGAACAGCAGGUCUAGUGGAGCACCUUCAUCAUCCCUGGUAGGCUCUCUUACCAGCUGUGCCUCAUUAUUCCCUUCCCCUUUCACAUCCAGUUUAAAGCAUUCUCAACAAGCCUUGCCAGCUCCUGGGCUAGGAUCUGUUUCCCCUUUGAGAUAGGUGAGACCCAUCUGUAGCCAUUAGGCCAGACACCAAGAAAACCUCCCCAGGAUCAAAAAAGCCAAAAUUCCUGCCAUGGCACCACCCUCUUAGCCAUAUAUUUGUCAGAUAGGCUUUCCUACUCUUCUCAGUAUCCCUCCCUGCCAUUGAAGGGAUAGAGGGAAAUACGACCUGUACUUUCUCCAUCAACUAACUGCCAUCAAGUAACUGCUCCAUCAACUAACUGCCCCAAUCCCCUGAAGUCCCUUUUGAUAGUCCUCAAGCUUCUGUCAGCUAUUUCAUUGCUGCCAGCCUGAACUGUCAGUAAAGGGUAAUAAUCAGAGGGGUGAACCAGACCCAGUCUUUAGUGAGGCAUCGGACUUUCCUACAGGUAGGUUAUGCUGACAGAUGGGGCCUUCUGUGCCCCUCGGAAAGGAAUUGCCUGUGACAGUUACCCUUCUUUAAUUCUUGGUGGGGGCAGUUUUGAGGCAUGUAGUAGUUGGCUGCCUUGUCCUAAACAACCUCCUGGGUGGACCUUCCAUGGCAGCUGGAACUGGAGUUGAAGCUGAUCCAAUGGCAUGUCAG
ensembl:lncRNA